GAAAGCCGGAUGUGUCGAAAGAUCCCUGUCCGGUUUGGAAAGGGGCGUGAGUGCUACCUGCUUCUAACGAAGUAAGGCGACUCACGCCUACUUUGC
rfam:Peptococcaceae bacterium BRH_c23 BRHa_1004656, whole genome shotgun sequence.